rnacentral:lncRNA from 1 species
GACCGAAUGGCAACAACAAAUAUGGAGGCGUCAUCGCUCAGCCUCUCACCGGAGAGAUACUGGACCGAAGACAAAGAGAGGACACUCAUAGCGUUUUUCUCCAAGCACACUUGUCUGUGGAACCACAAGUCAGAGAGUUACAAGAACCGACAACUGCGAUGGAAAACUCUGGAACACCUGAGGAUCCUUCUGUCAGCUCACCCCCCACCUGUGCCUUUCACUGUGGAAGACAUUAAGAAUAAGUUCAAGAACCUUCGUACCACAUUUCAACGUCAGUACAAAAUGGUUAAGACGAGGAAAGUGUGCAGAUCGGAUGAUGCGUUUGUGCCACAGUGGAAGCACUACGAGCAGCUGAUGUUUCUGCGUGGCUGCUGGGAUCACGAUGUCUGUGUCGAUGAGAUGCCGCUGUCACCGCCUCCUGUUCCACAGGAAGAGCCACAGUCUGUCCAUACCUUCCAAGAAAUCACCUCUUUCCUCCCUAGCUUAUCUACCUCUUCCACCUCUUCUCCGUCCUCUUGUGUCCCAUCCAACACGAUGGUUAAAUGUUUCUGGACUGAAGACAGAGAGCGUGUCCUGAUAGCUUUCUACUCUGAGCACAGCUGUCUAUGGAACAAGAAGUCUGAAAACCACAACAACCGCCAGCUCAGACUGAGGCUGCUGGAAUCCCUGAGGAACCAGCUGUCCGACCACACAGUGUCUUUCUCAGUUGAAGACAUAAAGUGCAAGUUCAAGAACCUUCGGACAGUUUUUAAUCGUGAAUGUAAGGCGGUGCAGGCCAGCAGGGCCUCUGACAAACUAUACGUAUCCAAAUGGAAACACUACCAGCAGCUGCUCUUCCUCUGCGAGUCCUGUGAUGAAGACGAUAGCACAGAUGACCUACAGAUACCAAUGCCACAGGAAGACAAGGAUCUACAACAUGGAGACCAAACGUCUUCCUCCACACUCAGUAGCUUCUCCUCCAGCUCCACCCAAGCCAAUAGCAACAAGUUCAGUGCAUCUGCUCACACCAGGUCCAGUCAGAGUGAUGUCAAAACCAGUUCCACAUACUCCUCUGUGUCUGCAGAUGAUGCUAAACUAGCAGGCAAAGCAGCUCCCUCCACAUUCCCAGCUUCUCCAUCUCCUUCACCUCCAGACACCAAAACUCGUGUAAACCCCUCCUCUCUAAAGUUCCCUGCAUCCGGUCCAGUUCAGGCAGACAGCAGAGCGACCACAGACUCCCGCUGCCACUGGAGUGAUGGCAAAGUUCAGCAGCUCAUAUCAUUUUACUCCAAUCACAGCUGUCUGUGGAACCACAAGUCAGAGAGCUACAGAAACCGUCUGCUGAGACAGAGCCUGUUGGAGACACUGAGCAGCCUCCUGUCUGACCGUGAACCAGUCCCAUUCACAGUGGAAGACAUUAAGACAAAAUUCAGGAACUUGCGAACCAUCUUCCAGCGUGAGCACAAGGCAGUCAGCUCAAACAAAACAUGCGGUUCAGAGGAUUUUUACCUCCCCAAGUGGAAACACUACCGUGAACUGAUGUUCCUCUGCGAGUCAUGCGAUGAGGACGAGCAACCUGAAGACCUCCACUUCCACGAACCGCAGGAGUCUGGCCUCCUUCACCUGCAUAGCCCCCCACCACUACAGUACCUCACCACUAAUCACACUGCUACAAAACUGAACAUCACAUCAGAGAACCUCAAAGCUCCACCUUCUCCUACUCCCCCAGACUCCCAGCACUCCUCUCCCUGUUCCUCCCCGUCUCCCUCCACAUCCUCCUCUCACACCGACAGCAGAGUGUCGAGACGCAAGCGACCAAGCCGUCGGGCACCACCCACCAACAGCGAAAUGCUGGAUUUUAUGAGGACAUUCGGUCAAAGGGAAACUGCGUCACCACAUGCUGGGUUCCUGAAGUAUGUGGAGGAGUGUCUGAAUGAGACCCCACCGGACAAAGUGAAGAAACUGAAGAAGAUGAUAAUUGAGACUAUCCAUAAUAUGUCAGAGGAAGCUUAGUUUGACACUGCUUUCUCAUUCUCAGUCAUAGGCCACUGACACUCCACUAGGGGUUGUCAUCAUUUGUUAUUGUCAAGUCGCAUGAAGAGUCUCAGCACUUACUAAAUUCCCUGCCCUGUCUAUAGCUGGGCUUCCAUCCGUUUUUCUAUGUGUGCAUUUUCAACUUGCACAUAUAAAGGUAAUGAAUAGAAUUUUUUUUAAAGUUGGUGUAUAGAUGAAUGCAAAAUGUAUCAAUACACGAGAUUCAGCAUAUGUAUCAUGUGUACAGGACUCCCUCCAUUUAAUACGUGAAACAAAUCCAUUGAACAAAUUGUACGUUGUUUUCCUGGUGGCUUCUACUCCUGUGACGCCAACUAACAGGACCACAUAUUACUUUUGAACCAGUUUCUCACAUUCUCUAAGCAGUAGGGGAUGGACGUAGUUUGUUCUACAUUUGCAAUGGUAAUGUAACUUGUGGCUGAGACGGUGGCAACCUGGUUGAUCAUUUACGUCAUGAACCAGUAUUUAACACUUUUAUCCUUUGAUGGCACUGAAAAGUCAGGGAAUCACCAAAGUCAUAUUUCAUCCUGGACCAUGAUGGAGCUUACAGUAGUGUGGGUAAAACCACAAUGCAUUUUCACCUAAAGACAACAUAAAAGAGUAAACAGUUGAACAAACAUUUUUCACAUGCACCUUUUUAUUUAUUGUAGUUUUUAUAUUUCUGAGAGAAGGAUUUCAUUAGCACCAAAACAGUUUAGGAUGUGCUGAAAGACACUGGGACUAGGACCGAAGUGAUCACACAGUGUGUGUGUGUGUGUGUGUAAAAACACAGUCAAACUUGCUAUUUGAAUGUGCUUCAUUAUUUAAGAUGUCAUGAUGAAAAUGACCAGUCCUGAAAUUUGAAGUGCUUUAAUUUAAAUGCUGCGUUGUAAGGCUGAAAUGUUGUUUUAUUAGUGAUUUGCUGAGGUGUUAUUUUAGCUUUCAUGUCUUUAUCAGCUAAAAAAAGUAUUUAAAAGUUUUUUUUAUACCUAUAAUUCAUAAAGGUAAUCUUAAAGUAACAAUCUAUGCACGCAAAGAGUUUUGAAAAUGUAAAAAUUCUGUUCACAUUUAGUGGUCAAUAUGUAGGUUUUUAAAGCAAUAAUGGUUCUUUUUUUUUUUUAGCGCUAGCUGUGAUUGACAGGGUUUUAAACAUGGUUUUUUGAAUUGCACAUUUCUGUACAAAUUAUUUAUACCGUUUUGGUGUUUGCACAUGUUUGUUAGCAUUUGACUCAGUGCCUUAUGAGAAUGUCUUCACACUAAAUGUGUGUCCUCUCAGCUUUGGAAUAUAUGGAUUAAAUAUAUAACUGUACUGAAGAGCAUUUUAUUUCUGCAAAGCUUAAAUUUGAUUUUCAUAUUUUUGAAAUCAACUUCACCCUGCUUUUCCUAAAUAUCCCCAUUUUAUUAAAUUAUUACAAACAUUGGAAUCUUAAGAGCAACUCUAGACCGACCCGUGAUGAACUAAACACCUUCUAGCACAUUUUGGUUGGCAAAACAAAAGGUCCCCUCUCCACCACAGUAAAAUUCUGUACCGCUGAUUGUAACUCACUGAUCUUCCUGUAGGUGGCAGUCUUUGACUGUCUCCUCAGCACAGGCCUUCAAAUGCAGCUCAGCAUGACCAGCCUCCUACUCUCACAUGAUUCUUUGAACGACUUUACCUUUAAAUCCUGAAGGCUCGACAGCCUCCAUCUUCUGUUUGACCUUUGACCUUCACACUGAGCUUUACGUGUAAAAUGCCCCAGUGUCUGAAGUUUCCUGGUGUUUGAUGAAGUUCUUUGUGUGUCACCUGAACCCUUUUCACUGAGAAACCUUCUCUUUUCUUAAUAAUGGCCCUGUGACCCCUGUUAGCUGAUACACUUGAUGGUCCGUACGUUAAACCACAUUCUUCAGGAGCAGCACACCCAGCUCGCUGCUGUCAGUGUGAGGUUCGAUUCUGUUUUUCGUAGAAAACCUCGUGUCUCACUUUUGAACAGGUUGUGCUUAAAUACGAUCACCAUCGAACAGAUAAAACACUGAGGUGUCCAAAGCUUGUGAGCCUGAUCACAGCUAUGGCUCAGAAUGGAUCACUAACAGAUUUGUAAAGCCUGUAGUAUCAGAGUGAUGUUCACCUGCAUCAGUAUCAGACUGUAAUCGAACGUCUUGUGCUUGUUUCUGUAAAAUAUCCACUGUAUUACAGAUCUCACAGUGUGAGGCUGUGGAGGUGCUUAUGGACACAUGCAAUUGAAGUGAUGAAUUGUAAUAUGUCCAUGUGUGUUUUUCUGAUUUGGCAGAAAAACUAAAUAACUGUGCAUGUUGACUGCUGACAGUGGUUCUGUGUUGUAUGAACAAAUAUUUGUUCAUCUUCGACUUGUCAGCUUGAACCUUUAUAAAGAGGGGAUGGAGAACUGAACGUUUCUUUUUUUAAUAUUGUAGUAAUGCCGCUGUGGAUAACUCCAGCGACACUGCGUGAGAAACCGUCACGCUUUCGUGAUGAAUAAAGCUACAUGUUACAGCUGCCGGAUGAUUGGAUUACAACUCAUCAGAACACACACACACACACACACACACACACACACACACACAGGACACCCUCAGUUCUGUUUUAAUUACUUUCACCAAUGGAAAAAGUAAUGGACUUAAAAAUAAAAUGUCUCUAAUGGAUCUUACCCUUCAAACACCAUAAACUCAUUAUAAUAAAUAAAAUUUACUCCACUUCAAGAACUGACCUUCCUCACUUCUAAUGGGAUCUAGUUCCAUUCUGCUCUGUUAUGUAUCCUUCAUUCCUUGUUUCCUACCUUCCUUUCCACUUGUGUCUAACUUUUCUCUGUUCCUUGUCUAGUCCUCUCCUGUCCUCUCCUGUCCUGUCCUGUCCUGUCCUCUCCCUGUCUCACCCCUCCACUGCUCUCCCCGUCUCCCCCUCUCUGUGUCUCACUCCACCUCACUCCACUUCUCUCUCUGUCUGUCUCUAUUCUCCUCGGUCAGCGAGUCGCACUAAAUCCUAUUGUGAUGCUAAACUGAUUUUCGGAAGAGAGAGAGAGGGAGAGGGAGAGAGGGAGAGAGAGGGAGAGGGAGGGUUGGAUUUCUGUUGGAGCACAUCUGACCUUCGCUCAUCUUAAAUCUGCACUUUCUCCUCUCGGUAAACUUUGAAACCUUGUGUUUCCAGUGUGUCCGCCCGCCGAGGAUCCGCCGCUCUCUCCGCGUCAGGAAUGCACUUUGCGGGAAACGCGGCUGCUUCGUCCGGACGCCUCCUGCUUUCUUUUUCCCUUUAACGAGGAGAAAUAAAUGAAUGAAGGACAUGAGCUCAGGAAGGUGAGAUCGUUUUCUUCGGUCCCGGUCAUCCCUGCCUCGAGGAGCCCGGAG